rnacentral:rRNA from 1 species
AUGGAGGAGUGGUGCAAGGAGCAGGCGCGGAAGCGCGUCCCCCCUCUCCCGCAGCGCCGGCUGCCGGGCCUAGAGCAACUUCGACUGGCUGGACCAUAUCUUCUUGCCCGAACUCAAGCAUAUCUGGCGGCUGGGCGCUCGUGGUUCAACGCGAAGGUGGUGGCCGCCGCCGGAGACAAAGCUGUCUCGGAGCAGGUGGCGCUGUUGAAGGAGAAGUACGAUUUGGCCUUCAUACUCUCCAACUCACUGAUGGAGCACCACCUCCACGUCAAGGCGCCCGGUGAUAAUGAUAAUGAGUAG